rnacentral:rRNA from 1 species
UCUGGUGAUUAUGGCAUGAAGGUAACACCCGUUUCCAUACCGAACACGAAGGUUAAGCUUCAAUACGCUAAUGGUACUGCAGGGGCAACCUUGUGGGAGAGUAAGUCGUCGCCAGGU